rnacentral:tRNA from 1 species
GGGCGGUUGGCGCAGCCUGGUUUAGCGCGUCAGUUUGACAUACUGAAGGUCACUGGUUCAAAUCCAGUACCGCCCACAA